AACAUCGCGCACCUGCGGGAACCUGCGGAGGGAUCAUCAUUGAAAACAAAUUUGGACAAGGGGAUUGUGAUUGACGGGGGGGAGGGGAAAGUUUUAUUUCCUGAGCCUUGAGAGAACAACCUCUUGGACAAAAACAACCAAUCUUCAUGACUAGGAAAAAACACAGUAAAGUAAACCAGUGGUUUGGGGGGGCAUAAACAACAAACAAGUUCUUGUCUGACAAGUAGUGUUUGGUGAUAC
rnacentral:misc_RNA from 1 species